UGACGGACGGGUGAGUAAUGUCUGGGAAACUGCCCGAUGGAGGGGGAUAACUACUGGAAACGGUAGCUAAUACCGCAUAACGUCGCAAGACCAAAGAGGGGGACCUUAGGGCCUCUUGCCAUCGGAUGUGCCCAGAUGGGAUUAGCUAGUAGGUGGGGUAAUGGCUCACCUAGGCGACGAUCCCUAGCUGGUCUGAGAGGAUGACCAGCCACACUGGAACUGAGACACGGUCCAG
rnacentral:rRNA from 1 species